rnacentral:rRNA from 1 species
UACGUAGGUGACCAGCGUUGUCCGGAUUUACUGGGCGUAAAGAGCGCGCAGGCGGUCGUUCAAGUCGAGUGUGAAAGCCCCCGGCUCAACUGGGGAGGGUCACUCGAUACUGAUCGACUUGAAGGCAGGAGAGGGAAGCGGAAUUCCCGGUGUAGUGGUGAAAUGCGUAGAUAUCGGGAGGAACACCAGUGGCGAAGGCGGCUUCCUGGCCUGUUCUUGACGCUGAGGCGCGAAAGCUAGGGGAGCAAAACGGGAUUAGAU